rnacentral:rRNA from 1 species
AGAGUUUGAUCCUGGCUCAGAACGAACGCUGGCGGCGUGCUUAACACAUGCAAGUCGAGUGCGCGCCUGUAGCAAUACAGGUGGCGCACGGCGCACGGGUGCGUAACACGUGGGUAAUCUGCCCUCUGAUGGGGAAUAACUCGCCGAAAGGCGAGCUAAUUCCGCAUAAUAUUCCGAAAAGUUCGCUUUUUGGACUGAAAGGCGUAAGUCGUCGGAGGAGGAGCCCGCGCACGAUUAGCUAGUUGGUAGGGUAAUGGCCUACCAAGGCUUUGAUCGUUAGCUGGUCUGAGAGGAUGGCCAGCCACACUGGAACUGAGACACGGUCCAGACUCCUACGGGAGGCAGCAGUGGGGAAUCUUGCACAAUGGGCGAAAGCCUGAUGCAGCGACGCCGCGUGGGGGAUGAAGCUUCUCGGAGUGUAAACCCCUUUCGAUCCGGACGAAUGCCUCGCAAGAGGAGUGACGGUACGGAUAUAAGAAGCCCCGGCUAACUACGUGCCAGCAGCCGCGGUAAACGUAGGGGGCCAGCGUUGUUCGGAAUUACUGGGUGUAAAGGGUUCGUAGGCGGUGUGGCAAGUCGGGAGUGAAAUCUCUGGGCUCAACCCAGAGACUGCUUCCGAAACUGCUGUGCUUGAGUGUGAGAGAGGCUCGUGGAAUUGCAGGUGUAGCGGUGAAAUGCGUAGAUAUCUGCAGGAACACCCGUGGCGAAAGCGGCGAGCUGGAUCACUACUGACGCUGAGGAACGAAAGCUAGGGGAGCAAACAGGAUUAGAUACCCUAGUAGUCC